ensembl:ncRNA M60.13 ncRNA
UGUGAUUUCUGGCCCGUCAAAAUAAAUGGCAUUUGCGUUAGCUCCGUUAGUGAGGAGGAGACGGGCACAGUCAUAGUGACCAUUCUGAAAGAAAAUAACCGUCUUAG